rnacentral:lncRNA from 1 species
UAUAUGUGAAUAUGAGAAAUGGUUUAAUUCUCAGGUAAAUUUUUUAACAUUAUAACUUUCUGAUUUCAGGAUUUUACAUGUACAAUGGAUUUGUCAGUCCAUCUGCCUAUAUGACAUUGAUGAUACCAAGGUGUGUCAUUAUAACCCAAUUCCCCUCAAAAGUGCUGCAAUGUUUUUAGUGGCAAUCUUUCUUGGACUUAAGAGCACAGUUCAUCUUCUGAUUUCAUGUCCUGAAGGAACUACUAUUUUUGCACUUUAAGGAAUAGUACAGUUUAGUUUUAUUUGGUGAUUCUUCAAAUGCGCACAGUGCAUUACACCACAUCAAGUACCUACAGUGACAACACCCUUUCGGAUGGCAACUUAUCAUUUCACCACAAACUGUGCAGUGAUUUUAUCACCCAGCCUCCCAGAAUUUGUUAAAGAAAAGAUUAUAUGAGUGAGUGUAAAUCAAUUCAAUUCCAAAGUGAGGCUUGGUGCAAUUUUUAAAGAAGAAAGAACCUGCCAGGGCUGCAUUGAACUCGUAAAUAUUGUUCUUCUCUACUUAAAUGAAUUGGUUAGAGUUAAUUUGGGAACCAUCAAAGAUAAACCUCUAAACUUUUUUCAUGCCGAGAGUACA